UACGUAGGGGGCGAGCGUUGUCCGGAAUUAUUGGGCGUAAAGGGCGUGUAGGUGGCCAGAUAAGCGUAAUGUGGAAGUCCAUAUUUCAAGUAUGGAAGUGCGCUAUGAACUGUCUGGCUUGAGUGCAGGAGAGGGAAGCGGAAUUCCUGGUGUAGCGGUAAAAUGCGUAGAUAUCAGGAGGAACACCGGUGGCGAAGGCGGCUUUCUGGACUGUAACUGACACUGAGGCGCGAAAGCGUGGGGAU
rnacentral:rRNA from 1 species